UACGUAGGGUGCAAGCGUUAAUCGGAAUUACUGGGCGUAAAGCGUGCGCAGGCGGUUAUGCAAGACAGAUGUGAAAUCCCCGGGCUUAACCUGGGAACCGCAUUUGUGACUGCAUAGCUGGAGUACGGCAGAGGGGGAUGGAAUUCCGCGUGUAGCAGUGAAAUGCGUAGAUAUGCGGAGGAACACCGAUGGCGAAGGCAGUCCCCUGGGCCUGUACUGACGCUCAUGCACGAAGGCCAGGGGAGCAAACGGG
rnacentral:rRNA from 1 species